CGAAGGUGGCAAGCGUUACUCGGAAUUACUAGGCGUAAAGGGCAGGUAGGUGGUUUGGUAAGUCUGUUGUGAAAGCUCCUUGCUUAACGGGGAGAGGCCAACAGAUACUGCCAGGCUUGAGUCUAGGAGAGGGUACUGGAAUUCCCGGUGUAGCGGUGAAAUGCGCAGAGAUCGGGAGGAACACCAAUGGCGAAAGCAGGUACCUGGACUAGUACUGACACUCAGCUGCGAAAGCUAGGGGAGCAAACAGGAUUAGAUACCCUGGUAGUCCUAGCCGUAAACGAUGCACAUUAGGCGUGAGGGGUAUUGACCCCCUUCGUGCCGAAGCAAACGCAUUAAAUGUGCCGCCUGGGGAGUACGGCCGCAAGGUUG
rnacentral:rRNA from 1 species